rnacentral:rRNA from 1 species
CCUACGGGAGGCAGCAGUAGGGAAUCUUCCACAAUGGGCGAAAGCCUGAUGGAGCAACGCCGCGUGGGUGAAGAAGGUCUUCGGAUCGUAAAACCCUGUUGUUAGAGAAGAACAUGCGUGAGAGUAACUGUUCACGUUUCGACGGUAUCUAACCAGAAAGCCACGGCUAACUACGUGCCAGCAGCCGCGGUAAUACGUAGGUGGCAAGCGUUAUCCGGAUUUAUUGGGCGUAAAUAGAACGCAGGCGGUCUUUUAAGUCUGAUGUGAAAGCCUUCGGCUUAACCGGAGUAGUGCAUUGGAAACGGGGAGACGUGAGUGCAGAAGAGGAGAGUGGAACUCCAUGUGUAGCGGUGAAAUGCGUAGAUAUAUGGAAGAACACCAGUGGCGAAAGCGGCUCUCUGGUCUGUAACUGACGCUGAGGUUCGAAAGCGGGGGUAGCAAACAGGAUUAGAUACCCCGGUAGUC